UCCGGGCUUAUGUGGAUGGGUGACCCAGGU
rnacentral:piRNA from 1 species